AUGGGCCCCGUCUUCUAUACUGCGCUUUCCCUGUACGUUGCUUCAAAUCCUUUUCAGAAAUUGCGUGAAGACACUGAGGCUGGAAAAGUGAAGUCUCGAUCAGGACAUCUCUAUGUAAUCUUGCUGGAAUCCGGCAUACACUUGAGACAGAAGAACAAUGUGAGGAAACUGAGCAAAAUGACUGAUAGUCCAGAAGGAAUAUUUUUCCUACCAUAUUAAUGUAACUGGAUGGGAAAUUCAACUAAUAAUGCAUCCCUGUUAUGCCCUGUUUUAAAAAGGUAGGUGCUUCAUCCCUCUUUACUGUUUGCCC